CACCCACUAUACACUAAAUAAUCUCCUUUACUUGAUGGUGGCAAUUUAAAGCUGUAAUUAAGAUGGAGGAUACAGGAAGUGACCAGAUACAAAAUACAGUAAUCAUGAAGGACCGCCUCAGUGAGCUUCUUGAGUAUGCAAGACUUCAUAAUCAAUAUGUUGAGAAUAGUGAAGAUGACCCCUCACAAGGCCUUGCAAUGUUUGAGACAGACCACUCAUUAGAAGUCCUAUACCGGGAUAUACAGCUCAUUCGGACAGAAAACCACUUGUUGAAGGUUGACGUGAAACGUUUGGGGAAGCAGACCACGCGCUUUCUUACUUCAAUGCGUCGCCUCAGCAGCAUUAAAAGAGAUUCCAACAGUAUAGCAAAAGACAUUAAGCUGCGAGGAGAAGGCAUCCACAAGAAGCUCCAGAGCCUCAAAAACCUUAGUGAAGACGCAGAGAGCAAACACGGGGAAAGUUCGGUUUUCGCACGCGUGUCCAAAGCUCAGUAUUUCACUCUUACACGUGCUUUCCAAAAAGCCAUGGUUGAAUACAAUGAGGCUGAAAUGGUUCAACGGGAGAACUGCAAAAUCCGUAUACAGCGUCAACUUGAGAUAAUGGGAAAAGAUAUAUCGGGAAACCAGAUAGAAGACAUGAUUGAACAAGGGAAGUGGGAUGUCUUCUCUGAAAAUCUACUUGCUGAUGUCAAGGUGGCCCGUUCAGCACUUAAUGAAAUUGAAACACGGCACAAAGAGCUACUAAAGCUGGAGACGCGCAUAAAAGAGGUCCAUGAUCUCUUCUUGCAGAUGGCUUUGUUGGUUGAAGAGCAGGCUGAGACUCUGAAUGUUGUUGAAUUAAAUAUGGAAAAAGUUAAAGAUUAUGUUGGGGCAGCAAAAGCUCAAGUCAAACAAGCAGUAGAAUAUAAGAGGAAGAAUCCAUGCCGCAAAAUGUUCUGCUGUUGUUUUCCUUGCUGCAACUAAUUUUCAAAGCUGCAACUAAUUUGCAAAGCUGCCUGCAUGCCGUUUUUCUCGCUCUGCACAGAGAGCUCAUGAACAAAGUACUGUAUGAAACGGACAGCAGUGCCUUAUAGCAACUUAAUUUGUUCUUUUAGAUUUUCUUAAUCACCAACAUUUUUUUUUUAAGUAUUUUUUUGUGUGUAUUUUUUAAGUGAAAACUUUACAUAAAACAACAAAGAUGCUGCCAUUUCUGUGUACAUGAGACAAUCAAGUGAAUUUUAGAUUUUUUUGUUUCUUUUGUGGUUUUAAGGAUCAGGUCCUAAUAAAAAGGUUGCAGUGAUUUCCUAUGAAUGCCAUGGGGUCAAUUCAAGACAAGUGAUGUGAAUUGCUAUUACAACGGUGUGGAAAUGCUGACAACCGUACCUCAUCUCACCCCCAAUUCACUGAUUUUUGUAUGCAGCCCUAGGGAGCCGCAAAUCAAUAUCUGCCAGUCUGGGGCUACCGUAAGUGCGAACUGAAUUUACCCCAUAUUUUAGUGCAGCUUUUUGCUUCCAAACACAUUUAACACAUUUCCACUGUGUUUCUGCAUUCAUACAUUUGAGCGUGUGGAACAAAACCAAAAGCUUGGAAUUUAGACAUUGAACAUUUAUUUUCUUGUAGAAGAUGUAAUUCAGUAUUAGCACUUUUAUUAGUUGGGUAUUGUCUGAAACCCAUGAUCAUUGUUUCAACAGUAUCAUGUUACGUAUUUCUGAAUGAAAGAACUGUGUUCUCUUGUGUUUUAUUUAUAGACUUUUUUCUUUCUUUCUAUAUUUUGUAUUCCUUUAAAUAAA